GGGUUGUGAGGUUAAGCGACUAAGCGUACACGGUGGAUGCCCUGGCAGUCAGAGGCGAUGAAGGACGUGCUAAUCUGCGAAAAGCGUCGGUAAGGUGAUAUGAACCGUUAUAGCCGGCGAUGUCCGAAUGGGGAAACCCAGUGCAAUUCGUUGCACUAUCGUUAACUGAAUACAUAGGUUAACGAGGCGAACCGGGGGAACUGAAACAUCUAAGUACCCCGAGGAAAAGAAAUCAACCGAGAUUCCCCCAGUAGCGGCGAGCGAACGGGGAGCAGCCCAGAGUCUGAAUCAGCUUGUGUGUUAGUGGAACGGUCUGGAAAGUCCGACGGUACAGGGUGAUAGUCCCGUACACCAAAAUGCACAGGUUGUGAACUCGAAGAGUAGGGCGGGACACGUGGUAUCCUGUCUGAAUAUGGGGGGACCAUCCUCCAAGGCUAAAUACUCCUGACUGACCGAUAGUGAACCAGUACCGUGAGGGAAAGGCGAAAAGAACCCCGGCGAGGGGAGUGAAAAAGAACCUGAAACCGUGUACGUACAAGCAGUGGGAGCACCUUCGGGUGUGACUGCGUACCUUUUGUAUAAUGGGUCAGCGACUUAUAUUCUGUAGCAAGGUUAACCGUAUAGGGGAGCCGCAGGGAAACCGAGUCUUAACUGGGCGUUAAGUUGCAGGGUAUAGACCCGAAACCCGGUGAUCUAGCCAUGGGCAGGUUGAAGGUUGGGUAACACUAACUGGAGGACCGAACCGACUAAUGUUGAAAAAUUAGCGGAUGACUUGUGGCUGGGGGUGAAAGGCCAAUCAAACCGGGAGAUAGCUGGUUCUCCCCGAAAGCUAUUUAGGUAGCGCCUCGUGAACUCAUCUUCGGGGGUAGAGCACUGUUUCGGCUAGGGGGUCAUCCCGACUUACCAACCCGAUGCAAACUACGAAUACCGAAGAAUGUUAUCACGGGAGACACACGGCGGGUGCUAACGUCCGUCGUGAAGAGGGAAACAACCCAGACCGCCAGCUAAGGUCCCAAAGUCAUGGUUAAGUGGGAAACGAUGUGGGAAGGCACAGACAGCCAGGAUGUUGGCUUAGAAGCAGCCAUCAUUUAAAGAAAGCGUAAUAGCUCACUGGUCGAGUCGGCCUGCGCGGAAGAUGUAACGGGGCUAAACCAUGCACCGAAGCUGCGGCAGCGACACUAUGUGUUGUUGGGUAGGGGAGCGUUCUGUAAGCCUGCGAAGGUGUGCUGUGAGGCAUGCUGGAGGUAUCAGAAGUGCGAAUGCUGACAUAAGUAACGAUAAAGCGGGUGAAAAGCCCGCUCGCCGGAAGACCAAGGGUUCCUGUCCAACGUUAAUCGGGGCAGGGUGAGUCGACCCCUAAGGCGAGGCCGAAAGGCGUAGUCGAUGGGAAACAGGUUAAUAUUCCUGUACUUGGUGUUACUGCGAAGGGGGGACGGAGAAGGCUAUGUUAGCCGGGCGACGGUUGUCCCGGUUUAAGCAUGUAGGCUGAUUGUCCAGGCAAAUCCGGAUAAUCAAGGCUGAGGUGUGAUGACGAGGCACUACGGUGCUGAAGUAACAAAUGCCCUGCUUCCAGGAAAAGCCUCUAAGCAUCAGGUAACAUUAAAUCGUACCCCAAACCGACACAGGUGGUCAGGUAGAGAAUACCAAGGCGCUUGAGAGAACUCGGGUGAAGGAACUAGGCAAAAUGGUGCCGUAACUUCGGGAGAAGGCACGCUGGUGUGUAGGUGAAGCCCCUGCGGGUGGAGCUGAGACCAGUCGAAGAUACCAGCUGGCUGCAACUGUUUAUUAAAAACACAGCACUGUGCAAACACGAAAGUGGACGUAUACGGUGUGACGCCUGCCCGGUGCCGGAAGGUUAAUUGAUGGGGUUAUCCGUAAGGAGAAGCUCUUGAUCGAAGCCCCGGUAAACGGCGGCCGUAACUAUAACGGUCCUAAGGUAGCGAAAUUCCUUGUCGGGUAAGUUCCGACCUGCACGAAUGGCGUAAUGAUGGCCAGGCUGUCUCCACCCGAGACUCAGUGAAAUUGAACUCGCUGUGAAGAUGCAGUGUACCCGCGGCAAGACGGAAAGACCCCGUGAACCUUUACUAUAGCUUGACACUGAACAUUGAGCCUUGAUGUGUAGGAUAGGUGGGAGGCUUUGAAGCGUGGACGCCAGUCUGCGUGGAGCCAACCUUGAAAUACCACCCUUUAAUGUUUGAUGUUCUAACGUUGGCCCCUUACCGGGGUUGCGGACAGUGUCUGGUGGGUAGUUUGACUGGGGCGGUCUCCUCCCAAAGCGUAACGGAGGAGCACGAAGGUUAGCUAAUCCUGGUCGGACAUCAGGAGGUUAGUGCAAUGGCAUAAGCUAGCUUGACUGCGAGCGUGACGGCGCGAGCAGGUGCGAAAGCAGGUCAUAGUGAUCCGGUGGUUCUGAAUGGAAGGGCCAUCGCUCAACGGAUAAAAGGUACUCCGGGGAUAACAGGCUGAUACCGCCCAAGAGUUCAUAUCGACGGCGGUGUUUGGCACCUCGAUGUCGGCUCAUCACAUCCUGGGGCUGAAGUAGGUCCCAAGGGUAUGGCUGUUCGCCAUUUAAAGUGGUACGCGAGCUGGGUUUAGAACGUCGUGAGACAGUUCGGUCCCUAUCUGCCGUGGGCGCUGGAGAAUUGAGGGGGGCUGCUCCUAGUACGAGAGGACCGGAGUGGACGCAUCACUGGUGUUCGGGUUGUCAUGCCAAUGGCACUGCCCGGUAGCUAAAUGCGGAAGAGAUAAGUGCUGAAAGCAUCUAAGCACGAAACUUGCCCCGAGAUGAGUUCUCCCUGAGACUUUAAGUCUCCUGAAGGAACGUUAAAGACGAUGACGUUGAUAGGCCGGGUGUGUAAGCGCAGCGAUGCGUUGAGCUAACCGGUACUAAUGAACCGUGAGGCUUAACCUUACAACGCCGAAG
rnacentral:rRNA from 1 species